rnacentral:misc_RNA from 1 species
GAUGAAGAACGUAGCAAAAUGCGAUAAGUAAUGUGAAUUGCAGAAUUCAGUGAAUCAUCGAAUCUUUGAACGCACAUUGCGCCCGGCAGUACUCUGCCGGGCAUGCCUGUUCGAGCGUCAUUUCAACCCUCAAGCCCUGCUUGGUGUUGGGGUCCCACGGCCGCCGUGGGCCCUGAAAGGAAGUGGCGGGCUCGCUACAACUCCGAGCGUAGUAAUUCAUUAUCUCGCUUAGGGCGUUGGGCGGCGCUCCUGCCGUUAAAGAACCAUCUUUAACUCAAGGUUGACCUCGGAUCAGGUAGGAAUACCCGCUGAACUUAAGCAUAUCAAUAAGCGGAGGA